AAUGGAAAAGACAGUUUGUUUUGUUCAAAAUAUAGGCUGGGUUUCCCAUAGAGCUCUUUUAAUAGCUUUUCAUGACUCAGUAACAUAGCAAAAUGCCUCUAGACCAAAUAUGGCGUGCGCCUACUGAGAGCUGCAGACUUGCCCUAAAUUUUCACAGCCGGAUUCAAGGUAUUCUAGACUACUUAUAGAUGUCUUCAAGAUGCCAUCUGCUGCACUUGACUUAAGAAGUAGCAUUUAGAAUGAUGUGUCUUAAAAAAAAAAUUAAAAACCUGAUAGAACCAGGUAGCUCAACUUUGCACAGAAACACAGGAGGGAAAAAACCCAACUCCUUGAAUAAUCAGUUGCCAACUUGCAAUGAGGACUUUCCCCUCCAUCACUGAAGGAAUGUGUUUGGCACCAAGGACUUGGGAUCAGCAGACAACAUAUUUCUGACUUUAGAAGUGCCACUGGUAGAAGAACGGGCCUGAGAACCGGAACUGCUGCCAGAAAUAGCAGGACAUCUGCAGGGAGCCCUGAUGCCACAGAAAGGAUUCUCAAGAUCUCCUAGAGAAAAUACUUCGUAAACUUUACAGCCAACAUCAGACUUUGAAGAAGAGAAGACAAGCACAGCUGGCCGUACGAGGCCUUCUAAAUUCCUUUUCCAGCUCGCAGGGCUGCAGAUAAGUUUUUCCAUGAAGCAGUCCAACCCCUGUUGCCGCAAGACCUGUUUUUUUUUUUUUU